rnacentral:misc_RNA from 1 species
GAUGAAGAACGUAGCGAAAUGCGAUACUUGGUGUGAAUUGCAGAAUCCCGUGAACCAUCGAGUCUUUGAACGCAAGUUGCGCCUCAAGCCAUUAGGUUGAGGGCACGUCUGCCUGGGCGUCACAUAUCGUUGCCUGAUGCCAGUUUCCUCGUGAUGGGUGACUGUGCAGGGCGAAUGAUGGCUUCCCGUGAGCAUUGUUGCCUCAUGGUUGGUUGAAAAUUGAGUCCUUGGUAGGGAGCGCCGUGAUAGAUGGUGGUUGAGUGACGAAUGAGACCCAAUCAUGUGAGACCCCUACCGAAUUUGGCCUUCAUGACCCACAUGCGUCUUUGGAACGCUCAUGACGAGACCUCAGGUCAGGCGGGGCUACCCGCUGAGUUUAAGCAUAUCAAUAAGCGGAGGA